AAGUCGAGCGGAGAUUCCAUUUAUUCAACUUCUUCGGAAGAGAAGUUAUGGANGAGAGCGGCGAACGGGUUAGUAAUAAAUGAGGUAAUUUGCCUCUUUGUUCGGGAUAGCCAUCAGGCAACACGAUGAUUAAUACCGGAUGUAGUUACAGGUACUGCAUAGGUACCUUAUAUAAAGGCGGAGAUUCUAUCGGAACCUGU
rnacentral:rRNA from 1 species